UGGUAUCACGGAGAUGGUAGUGUUUCCUCCCCUUCAGUUUUAAAAGGAAACUUUGUCCCAAACGAGUCUCCCGGCGAAUUUCCAUUGGCCGAGCAGGUGUUGUUGCUUCGGCGCUACCGCAGUUGAUAAUUACUCGCCAUCUUCCCCACUUGAUCGAAACGGCGACAGAGAGAGGUCUCUCUCACCUUUAUUUCUUCCGUUUCGCUUUCCUCUCUGCCGCUCGUUCUUCCUCACAAACCUAAAAACCCUAAAAUUAUUCGUUUUUCUCCUUGUUAAUUGCUGAAGGAAAUUUAUAGAUGUUCACGCUCACAUGUAUAGAGAAUCUCGAGCUAUUGGCAGAUUGAAUUUCCAUGGUUUCUUCUCAUGUUCUUUCUGUUCUAGAACGAUCCAUAGCUUAAAGCUUGUUUCAGAGCUCCUGUUCGAUAUAUUUUUCUUUCCCUGAUAAUUUGCGCGUUCUGCGAGUAUUGUCAUUCUUAAAUUGGUCGAUUUUGGAGCGAACUGCGGAGGAAAUGGCGUCGAGCUUCCGACAAUGGGAGUCGGAUCCGCUGUUUUCCGCGGCUGAAGUCGUUCAAGACGCCGCUGAUAGGAUGGAAUCACUUUUUCGUCUGUUAUCGCAUGAGCAAAGUCUUGGUCAAGAAAUCCAUAUAGAUGUCAAGUUACUUAAGUCAAUAGAGUAUCAUAGACGUGAUCUUGCAACUACACUGGAAACAGCAAAAUGGCAGUUGGAAGAUUUUGAAAGAGAGGUAAAUCUAUUGGCAACACUGGACAGGUCCCAUUCAAGGGAAAACACUAUUUCCAGAUACAGGCAAUUUAUAGAAGCCAUUACGGAACAAAUACUUAAUGUGGAGAAAAACUUGGGGAGCACAUCAGUGGGAGAUUUAAGGAAAAGCAUAAAGUCGGUAAAUUUUGAUGAACAAGACAGGCAUGGGCUGGAAUUGUUUCUUUCAGGUGAAAGUCCAAGUGAACACGUUGCACGCCAUGACUUGGAAGAUAGUAAUAUCAUGAAAAAGUUUCUUGAUCCAACAAUGACAUCCAGUUUAAAUGAUGAGAUUAUUGAGAAAAACAGGGGUGAUAACUUAAAUAUUAAUGGCCAUGUGCAUUUAAACCACAAUUUUGAUUUAAUGGAGAAUAAAUUACAGAAGGUGGACUCCCAUUAUUCCACACAAAUGAAUUUUGAAGCACCACCUUCUCUUCAAGAGAUCGCUCCUAAUAGAUUUGUUGAAGAUGGGGGUUGGGAUCUGGAGGCAAAUGGGGCCACUAGUAAAGACUCCUUCUGCAAAGACAGGUUGAGAUGGUACAACGGCCAAAGGAACAUCUUUGGGUCAUUGAGCACUCCCUGGUUCACUUAUGGCCGUAGGGAUAGUAGGAGUUUUACGAAGAGACAGAAAGAUGGUGAAGAACAAAUGCAUUCCCCAACUUACAUUAAUCCGUCUCAUGCUACACUGAUGGUGGAAUUGGCUCUAGGUCUAAAAACAACAUAUCAAGCCUUAGUCCCACCAUGUUGGGUUGGUGGCUGUAGGUCUAAACUUAAGCAAAAAAAUUUACAGGGUUCAAAUUUCUUAAGAGAAUGAUGUAGAAGUGUAAACCUCAUCUGUUUAUUUUGUUGUCUCAUAUGUGAACUAAGAAGUGGCAUCAAUAGUUUCAAUGAAGCGUUUUUACUCCAUCAUCUAUUAUAGGACUAUAACCAUUACAAUAGGAUACUGAUCCUUCUCUGAACAAAUGAGUUCUGUUGAAUUAAAAAAUGCUCGAAAUAGCCAGAACUAAAGACUGUUCUCCUUUGCAUUAAUUUGGAGAAGGGUAUCCACUGGAGGAUCUGGAAUGGUUCCAGCAACCUGAAACAAUGCAGUGAUGCACCAUACAUGUAGAUUGAAGAAAUAACCUUAUGGGCUAAAACAAUCCCCAUGACAAUGGCAGUGCGAUUGAUUCUGAAAUGAUUUGGUCUGGUUGUAUCAAUUGAGAGUAUAAUUUCUGUGUUUAUGAUUACAAAAUGGUUCUCAGUCUUUUGUUAUUUUGUGUGGAUGAUAUGUUAGUGCUGUCAAGAGCAUACUGGAGUCAAGGGAAGUAUGUGGGUGUGCUAAGAACUUCUUGGAUAUUGAGAUCUGUGGCUAGAGAGAGAAAAAAUUAUGGAUGUCAUAAAAGUUAUGUCAAGGAGGUAGUACAGAAGUUUGGCCUGAAUAAUGCUAAGUCAGUGAGAAGAAAUUGGAGUUAUCUACUAGUUAAUGGCAAUCAACAGAAGAAGCAAGCAAAUGCCUCCCAAAGGUUCCAUAUGUUAAUGGAGUUUGAUAUUUGCCAUAUGCAGCAAUAUUUUAGUAGCUUGGCUUAUUACAUCAAGGUGGCUGGUCAAACUGUAUGAUGAAUCCAUGAAAAAAGCAUUGGAAGAUGGUCAAAGGGAUUUCCAGGCACUUGAGAAGAAUUAGAAUUUUGUCCUAGCAUGGCGUAAUUAAAUGUUAGCUGACUUACUUGGAUGACAUGAGGUGUACUAUAAGAGGUCUGUUCUCACUUGCAGGUAAAGCUAUUUGUUUUCGAUAGAUCCACACAUCCUCAUAGCCUGCUACAUCUGAUGCUGAAUAUAGUGAUUGACUGACUGAAGUUGCUAAGGAAGCACCAUGGGGUAGUUCUAGACAAAUAAUUCUAACUCCUGGAUUCAGCUGUUUUCAAAGAUUUUAUUUCGAGUUAUUUGCCAGAGUCAUACACUCCUGCCAAUUGCUUGGUGAAUAUAGAGCAAGAUAUCGAAGAUCACGAUAUUU